CGCACCUUGUGCUCCUUGGUAUUCCUUGGAGCAUGCCUGUUUGAGUAUCAUGGAAUUCUCAACUCCCAAGUUUCUUAGGAAACAUGGUGAGCUUGGACUUGGAGGAUCUGUGCUGGCUAGUAAUCAAGUCAGCUCCUCUGAAAUGUAUUAGCAUAAAUCAUGCAAUCAUCCUCAGUGUGAUAAUUGUCUACGCUGUGAAUGUGAAGCAUUUUAUGUUUAUGCUUAUAGUCGUCUUUUUAUUAAGACACUUUUUGACUUCUGAUCUCAAAUCAGGUAGGACUACCCGCUGAACUUAA
rnacentral:misc_RNA from 1 species